AGAGUUUGAUCCUGACUCAGGAUGAACGCUAGCUACAGGCUUAACACAUGCAAGUCGAGGGGCAGCAUGAACUUAGCUUGCUAAGUUUGAUGGCGACCGGCGCACGGGUGAGUAACACGUAUCCAACCUUCCGUUUACUCAGGGAUAGCCUUUCUAAAGAAAGAUUAAUACCUGAUAGUAUGGUGAGAUUGCAUGAUAGCACCAUUAAAGAUUUAUUGGUAAACGAUGGGGAUGCGUUCCA
rnacentral:rRNA from 1 species